UUAGGAAGCAAAACCUGGUUGUUUUCACCAUGACUUGGGCUCCACUGCUCCUUGCCUUUCUUCAUCACUUAACAGGGUCAUGUGCCCAGUUUGUGCUUACUCAGCCAAGCUCUGUAUCUACGUCUCUAGGAAGCACAGUCAAACUGACUUGCAAGCGCAGCACUGGUAACAUUGAAAGCUCCUAUGUGCACUGGUACCAGCAACACAUGGGAAGAUCUCCCACCAAUAUGAUCUAUAAAGAUGAUCAGCGACCAUCUGGAGUUUCUGAUAGGUUCUCUGGCUCCAUUGACAGCUCUUCCAACUCAGCCUUCCUGACAAUCAAUAAUGUGCAGGCUGAUGAUGAGGCUGACUACUACUGUCAGUCUUCUAGUAGUAGUGUUCAUCACAGUGAUGUAAAACACGGAGGAAGUAAGAAAAAACCUCCCCAGAGCACAAGCUGUGAACUCAAUUGUGAAAAGAACUAUUGGUGUUUCAUGUCUUCAUUAGAAGCACUGCUACUGGGUUUUCCAAGUCAUACAUUCCUCUAG